AUUCACCCCAGCACAUAGACUUGUGCGGUGCAGUCACUAUCACACCUUAGGUGUGUCAGUAUUUCCAGGUCACCAAGGUGUGUUAGUGAUGACACUGCGCAAAGUCCCUCACAACAGGCCCAAU
rnacentral:precursor_RNA from 8 species